rnacentral:rRNA from 1 species
AUUGAACGCUGGCGGCAUGCCUUACACAUGCAAGUCGAACGGCAGCACGGGAGCAAUCCUGGUGGCGAGUGGCGAACGGGUGAGUAAUAUAUCGGAACGUGCCCAGUCGUGGGGGAUAACGCAGCGAAAGCUGUGCUAAUACCGCAUACGAUCUAAGGAUGAAAGCGGGGGAUCGCAAGACCUCGCGCGAUUGGAGCGGCCGAUAUCAGAUUAGCUAGUUGGUGGGGUAAAAGCCCACCAAGGCGACGAUCUGUAGCUGGUCUGAGAGGACGACCAGCCACACUGGAACUGAGACACGGUCCAGACUCCUACGGGAGGCAGCAGUGGGGAAUUUUGGACAAUGGGCGAAAGCCUGAUCCAGCAAUGCCGCGUGCAGGACGAAGGCCUUCGGUUGUAAACUGCUUUGUACGGACGAAACGGCCUCUUCUAAUAAAGGGGACGUAAUGACGGUACCGUAAGAAUAAGACACCGGCUAACUACGUAGCCAGCAGCCGC